AGUGUAGCACAAUGGCAGUGCGGCUGAUUUGUAAUCAGCAGGUUGCAGGUUCGACUCCUGUCGCU
rnacentral:tRNA from 1 species